rnacentral:rRNA from 1 species
AUGUAAGUUGUUGCAUGAAUUUUUAUUUAUUUAAAUAAUAAAUAAUUUUAUUAUAUUCUCAGUAAAUAGAUUUAUUAAUCAAGUAAAUUUGUAAAUAGUAAUUUCAUAUAGUAUUGGUUAAAUUUGUGCCAGCAUCCGCGGUUAUACAAAUAAUACAAAUAAAAUAUAUUUUAUGUAAGUUAAAUUUUAUAAUUAAUUGAAAUAUAGAUAAAUUUAUUAGGUGAAAUUUUAAAUUUAUAAUUUUUUUUUAUUAAGAUUUUAUUGAAGCUUAAAAAUUUUAUUAAUAAACUAGGAUUAGAUACCCUAUUAUUUAAAAUGUAUAUAUAUAACAUAAAGGUAGUAUUAGUUAUGAUCUUGAAACUUAAAAAAUUUGGCGGUAUUUUAGUCUAUUCAGAGGAACCUGUCCUAUAAUCGAUAAUCCACGAUGUACCUUACUUAAAUUUGUUUUCAGUUUAUAUACCGUCGUUAUCAGAAUAUUUUAUUAGAAUAAUAAUUUUCUAUAAUUUAUAAUAAAUUUUAUAUCAGAUCAAGGUGUAGCUUAUAUUUAAGUAGAGAUGGGUUACAAUAAAAUUAUUUAAAUGAAUUUAAAUUUUAAAUGUUUAAUGAAAGUGAAUUUGAUAGUAAAAUUUUAAAGAUUAAAAAUUUGAUUUUAGCUCUAAAAUAUGUACACAUCGCCCGUCGCUCUUAUUAUUAAGAUAAGAUAAGUCGUAACAUAGUAGAUGUA